rnacentral:rRNA from 1 species
GAUGAACGCUGGCGGCGUGCUUAACACAUGCAAGUCGAACGAUGAAGCCCAGCUUGCUGGGUGGAUUAGUGGCGAACGGGUGAGUAACACGUGAGUAACCUGCCCUUAACUCUGGGAUAAGCCUGGGAAACUGGGUCUAAUACCGGAUAGGAGCGCCUACCGCAUGGUGGGUGUUGGAAAGAUUUAUCGGUUUUGGAUGGACUCGCGGCCUAUCAGCUUGUUGGUGAGGUAAUGGCUCACCAAGGCGACGACGGGUAGCCGGCCUGAGAGGGUGACCGGCCACACUGGGACUGAGACACGGCCCAGACUCCUACGGGAGGCAGCAGUGGGGAAUAUUGCUCAAUGGGCGAAAGCCUGAUGCAGCGACGCCGCGUGAGGGAUGACGGCCUUCGGGUUGUAAACCUCUUUCAGUAGGGAAGAAGCGAAAGUGACGGUACCUGCAGAAGAAGCACCGGCUAACUACGUG